rfam:Schistosoma margrebowiei strain Zambia genome assembly, scaffold: SMRZ_contig0006390
GCACUGCUGAGGAGUCCCAUACCAGAACAAAACGGCCGUCCAGUGC